rnacentral:rRNA from 2 species
CGCCUCUUGUUUAUACAUAAGAGGUCCAGCCUGCCCAGUGAUAAAUUCAACGGCCGCGGUACCCUAACCGCGCGAAGGUAGCAUAAUCACUUGUUCCUUAAAUAGGGACUAGUAUCAACGGCAUCACGAGGGUUCUACUGUCUCCUCUCUCUAAUCAGUGAAAUUGAUCUCCCCGUGAAGAAGCGGGGAUAAUGUUAUAAGACGAGAAGACCCCAUGGAGCUUUAAACCAAGCAACAACUCAAUUUUAUAUUACCUAACAAACAAUAGAGAAGUGCUGCAAGGUUUUGGGUUGGGGUGACCACGGAGUAAAAAUUAACCUCCACGACGAAAAGACCUAGUCUUUAUUCAAGAAUUACCCUUCUAAAAAUUAGUACACUAACGAAUAAUGAUCCAAUAUUUGAUCAACGGACCAAGUUACCCUGGGGAUAACAGCGCAAUCUACUUCGAGAGCCCAUAUCGACAAGUAGGCUUACGACCUCGAUGUUGGAUCAGGGUAUCCCAGUGGUGCAGCCGCUACUGAAGGUUCGUUUGUUCAACGAUUAAAACCCU